CAACCUUAUAAAAAGGCAAGGUUGUUGCUGGAGGCAGACCAGAACACGGCUUCAGCCUCCUUGAAGACAUCUGACCAGUUGGAAGGAUGAAGCUCCUGACAUUUUGUGGCUUUUUGUUUAUCCUUCUUUUGUGUCUCAAUGCCUUUACUGCAGAAGGUCGGAAACCUAAAAAAAUCUGCUGCUCAAAGCUGCCCAAACUCAACAAAAAAGCACAUAAAGGUAUAAAUUUCAAAAAGACUCCAAUGGAAAUAAGGAAAUACUGCAAGCCUUGUGCUCAGCCAGCCCCGCCCAUGAUGGUUCCUGGACCCCUCCCACAGUUAAAAUGAGUAGACCCAGAGCAGGGUGAAAAGCAUCGCCUGCCAGCGCAUCUCACAGUUCUUUACUUGGUUGAGGGCCCUCCUUUCACAGAUAGGACAUGAGUGUAAAUUACUUUUAUUUUUCAUUUGGGAAAGGCUUCAGUCAGUACUGUUUAUUCAUUCUCUCAGGCUCCUUUAUCUUGUUAACAUUAGCCUGGCAGCUAAAGACUCGGGCAAAACUGCAUGGCUGCCACCUGACUUUGUGUCAGUUGCAUAUUCCUCUGCACCCAACAGGGAUUUAGCUCCUCAAAUAAGAGAAACAGAAUUGCUGGCUGAAUCACUUUGGUUUGCAUUUUUGGAUUGCCUAUAAAAAAAAGGUGGGGAAGGGCUGAUGUUACUGUUUCUAAUUAUCAGUAUAUAUGCAUAUUUAACCUUUUCUAUGAAUGAUUUAUUUCAUACUGACAGAAGGAUUUUGUUUGUAGCUAGGCACAUGAUGAUUCUCCCCGCAGUCUUUGCUCUCAGUGCUUGAAAUCCUCUUGGAAGUUAAUUUCAUCAUUCGGAAAGGGCUGAGAAACUACAUAAGCAGGUUGAUGAAAUAGUGGUAAAGGACCAGAUUCAAGUACAGUGGUAAGCUCUUCAAUAUCUCAGCUAGGGCUUUUAAAUCUGGCUUUAAAAGCAAAGGGGCCUGUUCUUUAACGUCCUAGAAGAUUGUAGUCAGGUGGUUAUACACAGCAUACUGAAAAGGUGUUAAGGCUAAUCAGAUUAAACCUCUUUCUCCUGAAGCCAGAAGACAGCUGUUCUUUUAAGACACCUGGGUCAUGUGAUCACCUCAAUAAACAAAACUUACUGGAGGAUAAAAUAAAUGCUAAGAAUGAUAUCAAAGGGCUGAAUAACAGAGAAACUGAAGCACCCUCUGCUGACAUCAUUAGCGGUGAUUGGGUCUUCACUCAUGUAUCCUCUGUCCUUUCCUAACUGGCCCCUGCUUAUGCUGCUAUUUUGCUACCUGGGGUGAGUCCUUAAACCAGAAAAACCUGGAUGUUCAGAAAUUUGUUUUUUUAUUACUAGUGAAUAUGAGGAGGAGUAGAAAGCUCUUCUGCUGUUGGGCAAGCUGCAGAUUGCUAAUAGUAAUUUUUCCCUUAGUACUCAAGUACUGCUUCUCUUAACAUAACUUCCAGUGAGAUAGAAAUAGACUACUUCAGAAUUUGGGAGGGUUGAAUGGGGGCAGUCAGAGGCCUGUUGUAACCCACACAGACAAAUGCAGUUCCCAAGGAUUGAGUUUAUGGGCACUUGCAUGUGGCAACGUUUCUGUCAUACUGAGCAAUUGAACCAAUUCCUGGGUCUUCUGUGUGCUUGUUAUUACUUUAUUUUCUUAUUGCUUUUGAGAUGAGAUAGAUCUGACUCUCAGCUUCCCAUUUUUGAAGAGCUGACCAUGCAUAGCAUUUUUAUAUCAAGGAUAAAGGAGCUGCCAAUCCUUCUCUCAAGAUCUGAGUUAGGAGGUUGGUGAAGGAGCUGUGUUUGAUUGUUCUGCUGCUGAUCACUAGGCAAAUAUAUUUUAUUUCUAUUUUGGCUUUUGUAGCUCACAGAAGGAAUGUGUAGAAUACAAAUGAUAAGUAAAUGUAAAAAGCAUUUUUGGUAUUAAAUGUGUUUGCAGCAGAGUUUUACUCUGUUGACUAUGGCCAUGUGUGUUUACAGCUCUGUGUAACGCAUUGAUAUCAGCUAUGAAGAUUCUGUUCUCUAAUGUGAUCUUAAGCCCAUUUCUCUUGUAUCUGAAAAAUGCUCUGUGAUUUUUCUCUUUGCCCUACACCAUCCAACCAGUGUGCUCCACAGUCUCCGAUCUUCCUGCAGGCAAAACCUGCUCUCUGAUAGCAAAAUAUAAGCCCCAAAGACCACUAGCACAAUUAUAGAAAUAUUCUGAGUAUCUGGGGGGAUGCAGGGACAUCAUCCAAUGCACCUGAGUAUUUUUACUCAGUUUCCCAGACAGGCCUCAACCAAAGGUUGAGGGCUAUUCAAGUUAAAAAUGUUACUUGUGUGAGUUUCUGGUCUUGACCAAACAAACUUAAAGCGGCAAUAAUCAAAUUAUUUCAGCAUGGAUUGUGGCUGCUGCCCAAACAUGCUUUUUUGCCUCAUCAAGAGGUAUGGGGAUGUCAUGUGUCAGCCCCUGAAGGUGAUUCCUCAACAGAGUUUGACUUUUAUGUACCAGGCCACGUUCCCUUGUGGUAGAACAGAGCUACCAUCUGAUCAUGUCUUCACUUACAGGCGUCUGUUCUUCCUUUUGUUUUCUUUUCACUUACAUGUAUAUUUGUUUGGCAUUACCUGAGGGGAGACAUUUGCUCAGUGGCUUUUCAAAGUACACAAGCUGCAUGCUUAUAUAAAGUAGUAAAUUUAGCUUGUCCAAGCUGACAAAUGCAUUUGUUUGUAUCUUGUGUUUUUGUGUGCAUUCGGCUGUCAAGCAUGAAAAUUGCACAGCCUUGAAGUUCCAAUAAAGAUGUUUCUGAAGUA